UCCAGACUCCUACGGGAGGCGGCAGUGAGGAAUAUUGGUCAAUGGGCGGAAGCCUGAACCAGCCAAGUCGCGUGAGGGAAUAAGGCCCUACGGGUCGUAAACCUCUUUUGCCGGGGAGCAAGGGCGGGGACGUGUCCCGGCCCGGAGAGUACCCGGAGAAAAAGCAUCGGCUAACUCCGUGCCAGCAGCCGCGGUAAUACGGGGGAUGCGAGCGUUAUCCGGAUUUAUUGGGUUUAAAGGGUGCGUAGGCGGCGCUUCAGGUCAGCGGUGAAAUACCGGGGCUCAACCCCGGGGCUGCCGUUGAAACCGGAGCGCUAGAAUUCCGAUGCCGUCGGAGGAAUGUGUGGUGUAGCGGUGAAAUGCAUAGAUAUCACGCAGAACCCCGAUUGCGAAGGCAGCCUUCCGGCGCCCUACUGACGCUGAGGCACGAAAGUGCGGGGAUCGAACAGGAUUAGAUACCCCAGUAGCC
rnacentral:rRNA from 1 species